rnacentral:rRNA from 1 species
AUUGAACGCUGGCGGCAUGCCUUACACAUGCAAGUCGAACGGUAACAGGUCUUCGGAUGCUGACGAGUGGCGAACGGGUGAGUAAUACAUCGGAACGUGCCUAGUAGUGGGGGAUAACUACUCGAAAGAGUGGCUAAUACCGCAUGAGAUCUACGGAUGAAAGCAGGGGAUCGCAAGACCUUGUGCUACUAGAGCGGCCGAUGGCAGAUUAGGUAGUUGGUGGGAUAAAAGCUUACCAAGCCGACGAUCUGUAGCUGGUCUGAGAGGACGAUCAGCCCAAUUGGGACUGGAACACGGCCCAGACUCCUACGGGAGGCAGCAGUGGGGAAUUUUGGACAAUGGGCGAAAGCCUGAUUCAGCAAUGCCGCGUGCAGGAUGAAGGCCUUCGGGUUGUAAACUGCUUUUGUACGGAACGAAAAGCCCCGGGUUAAUACCCUGGGGUCAUGACGGUACCGUAAGAAUAAGCACCGGCUAACUACGUGCCAGCCGCCGCCGUAA